GGGUUGUGAGGUUAAGCGACUAAGCGUACACGGUGGAUGCCCUGGCAGUCAGAGGCGAUGAAGGGCGUGCUAAUCUGCGAUAAGCGCCGGUAAGGUGAUAUGAACCGUUAUAACCGGCGAUACCCGAAUGGGGAAACCCAGUGUGAUUCGUCACACUAUCAUUAACUGAAUCCAUAGGUUAAUGAGGCGAACCGGGGGAACUGAAACAUCUAAGUACCCCGAGGAAAAGAAAUCAACCGAGAUUCCCCCAGUAGCGGCGAGCGAACGGGGAGGAGCCCAGAGCCUGAAUCAGCAUGUGUGUUAGUGGAAGCGUCUGGAAAGGCGCGCGAUACAGGGUGACAGCCCCGUACACAAAAGCGCAUGUGCUGUGAGCUCGAUGAGUAGGGCGGGACACGUGGUAUCCUGUCUGAAUAUGGGGGGACCAUCCUCCAAGGCUAAAUACUCCUGACUGACCGAUAGUGAACCAGUACCGUGAGGGAAAGGCGAAAAGAACCCCGGCGAGGGGAGUGAAAAAGAACCUGAAACCGUGUACGUACAAGCAGUGGGAGCCCCACCACUAAGCCAGUGGUGAACUCCACAUACGCAUCCUUUGCUGAGGAUACGGUUAACGGAGCGAAAGCGACGUUCAACCUCAAAAGAAGCAGAGGGGGCUUAGUGGUGGGGUGACUGCGUACCUUUUGUAUAAUGGGUCAGCGACUUAUAUUCUGUAGCAAGGUUAACCGAAUAGGGGAGCCGGAGGGAAACCGAGUCUUAAUUGGGCGUUAAGUUGCAGGGUAUAGACCCGAAACCCGGUGAUCUAGCCAUGGGCAGGUUGAAGGUUGGGUAACACUAACUGGAGGACCGAACCGACUAAUGUUGAAAAAUUAGCGGAUGACCUGUGGCUGGGGGUGAAAGGCCAAUCAAACCGGGAGAUAGCUGGUUCUCCCCGAAAGCUAUUUAGGUAGCGCCUCGUGAAUUCAUCUCCGGGGGUAGAGCACUGUUUCGGCUAGGGGGCCAUCCCGGCUUACCAACCCGAUGCAAACUGCGAAUACCGGAGAAUGUUAUCACGGGAGACACACGGCGGGUGCUAACGUCCGUCGUGAAGAGGGAAACAACCCAGACCGCCAGCUAAGGUCCCAAAGUCAUGGUUAAGUGGGAAACGAUGUGGGAAGGCCCAGACAGCCAGGAUGUUGGCUUAGAAGCAGCCAUCAUUUAAAGAAAGCGUAAUAGCUCACUGGUCGAGUCGGCCUGCGCGGAAGAUGUAACGGGGCUAAACCAUGCACCGAAGCUGCGGCAGCGACGCUUAUGCGUUGUUGGGUAGGGGAGCGUUCUGUAAGCCUGCGAAGGUGGCCUGUGAGGGUUGCUGGAGGUAUCAGAAGUGCGAAUGCUGACAUAAGUAACGAUAAAGCGGGUGAAAAGCCCGCUCGCCGGAAGACCAAGGGUUCCUGUCCAACGUUAAUCGGGGCAGGGUGAGUCGACCCCUAAGGCGAGGCCGAAAGGCGUAGUCGAUGGGAAACGGGUUAAUAUUCCCGUACUUGGUGUUACUGCGAAGGGGGGACGGAGAAGGCUAUGUUGGCCGGGCGACGGUUGUCCCGGUUUAAGCGUGUAGGUGUGUGUUCCAGGUAAAUCCGGUUCACUUUAACACUGAGGCGUGACGACGAGGCACUACGGUGCUGAAGCAACAAAUGCCCUGCUUCCAGGAAAAGCCUCUAAGCAUCAGGUAACAUCAAAUCGUACCCCAAACCGACACAGGUGGUCAGGUAGAGAAUACCAAGGCGCUUGAGAGAACUCGGGUGAAGGAACUAGGCAAAAUGGUGCCGUAACUUCGGGAGAAGGCACGCUGACAC
rnacentral:rRNA from 1 species